rnacentral:lncRNA from 1 species
GGCUGCCCAUUCACAAAUUGUUCAUUGCUCAGUUAAACUCCUUUAAAUUUAAUUCGGCUGACAUUUUUCUUUUAACAGGUGGAAGAUUGAAGGUCUGAAGAGUGGGAAGACCCAGGAACAGGCAAGUCCAGGAAGAUAUGAGGAAAAUCAAGAAAGAGAAGGAAACUGAAGCUAGUGGGAAGUGCUUCAAGUUGGAGAUGAUGCUGAGAUGGCCAAAAAGUGAGAGGUGGAAAACAUUUGGAGUGAGUUAAGGAGAGAACGCGAGGCAAGGAAGUGAAGCCGAUUUUCAAACCUGAGUGAAUGAAUGAAUAAACGGACCUGGGAAUUGAUCAACAAUGGCUGCUACAUCGCAUAAAGAGAGACGACCAGGUGCAUCCCAUGGCUGAGCCCAGUGUCCAAGUGAAAGGGCACCAGGAAGUUCCCUGCAGCGCUGUGGGUACAGGAAGAAUGGGCGCCAUCUUCAUGACAGCAGCAUGCUAAGUUACAGAAAGUGAGCGGCGUUCUAGACAAAGCAAGCUCAUCUGUGAAUGGAUCAUGGCGGAAACCUGACCACAAGUAUGUUGGGAUUUAUGUGUUUGACAUU